CACGGAGGGUGCGAGCGUUGUCCGGAAUCACUGGGCGUAAAGGGCGCGUAGGCGGCCUGAUAAGUAGGGGGUGAAAUCCUGCGGCUUAACCGCAGGGCUGCCUUCUAAACUGUCAGGCUAGAGCACAGUAGAGGCAGGUGGAAUUCCCGGUGUAGCGGUGGAAUGCGUAGAGAUCGGGAAGAACAUCAGUGGCGAAGGCGGCCUGCUGGGCUGUUGCUGACGCUGAGGCGCGACAGCGUGGGGAGCAAACAGG
rnacentral:rRNA from 1 species